GCAAGUCGAACGCGUGUAGCAAUACACGAGUGGCGCACGGGUGAGUAACGCGUGGAUAUCUGCCUUUUGGUUCGGAAUAACUCCGGGAAACUGGAGCUAAUACCGGAUGGUUCCUUCGGGAUAAAGAUUUAUCGCCAAAAGAUGAGUCCGCGUACGAUUAGCUAGUUGGUGAGGUAAUGGCUCACCAAGGCGACGAUCGUUAGCUGGUCUGAGAGGACGAUCAGCCACACUGGGACUGAGACACGGCCCAGACUCCUACGGGAGGCAGCAGUGGGGAAUAUUGGACAAUGGGGGCAACCCUGAUCCAGCCAUGCCGCGUGAGUGAUGAAGGCCUUCGGGUUGUAAAGCUCUUUUGGCGGGGACGAUGAUGACGGUACCCGCAGAAUAAGCCCCGGCUAACUUCGUGCCAGCAGCCGCGGUAAGACGAAGGGGGCUAGCGUUGUUCGGAAUUACUGGGCGUAAAGCGAGUGUAGGUGGUUGUCAUAGUCAGGUGUGAAAGCCUUGAGCUCAACUCAAGAAAUGCACUUGAUACUGGGCGACUAGAGGACCGGAGAGGAUAGUGGAAUUCCCAGUGUAGUGGUGAAUACGUAGAGAUUGGGAAGAACACCAGUGGCGAAGGCGGCUAUCUGGACGGUUUCUGACACUAAGACUCGA
rnacentral:rRNA from 1 species